CAAUUAUUUAUACAAGGCAAAAGGAAUAAAAUCUGUUAAGCUAGGUACAUGUGUCCUUUCACUAUUUGUCUAUGUCUAACUGCCUAAAAGAAUCCUAAGAAAGAAUAUAGAGUAAUUAAUAUGUACACAUAUUUACCUAUACACUACAUCCGGUAAAAGAACCUUCUAGAUUUCUAAUACUUUCUUUCAUACUUUUACUCAAAUGGACGGCCCCGAUUUGUUUUUCAUUUGAAGAAAAUAAACGCACAAGAUUGACUUUUAGCUUUGGAUCUCUGAAGACAAAGUGGUCCUGUCUUUGGACAUAUCGACAUUUGAGUGUACCCAUCUUCUUCACCAAAAUUCUCUAUGCACUGAGCUUGUGGAAUUCCAACGCCAAUACCCCUCUUCAAGUUGGAUGGGGACAAAGUUAAGCCCAACUUGCCGAUGAUAGAGCGGUGAAUUGGACCGGACAAGGGUUUUGUGAAAAUAUCGGCAACCUGUUAAUGGGAAGGGACAAAAAAUAAAGAAAUGAUUCCCGCCUGAAAUUGUUGGCGAACAAAAUGGCAAUCAAGUUCCACGUGCUUCGUACAUUUGUGGAAUACUGGAUUUUUGGCAAUAUGAAUCGCAACUUCGCUAUCGGAAUGAAGCUGAACCGACAGAAAGGGUAAAAUAGAGAGAUCUUCGAACAAUCGAACUAACCAGGUAGCUUUUGCGACCACUCGUCUCAUGGAUCUGUACUCUGCUUCAGUAGAGGACAAAGAAACUAAAGGUUGUUUCUUUGAUUUCUAGGAGACCCGCGAACCCCCAAGGAUAAUGUAGAAUCCACUAAUAGAUCGAUGAGUAUCAGGACAUUGUCCCCAGUCGGAGUCACAGAAAGCAAGAAGGCGAAGUGAUGGAUUAGGGUUGAGCAAAAGACCCAUUGCAGGAUUUGAGAGAAGAUAACGCAGAUAGUGAAAAGCUGCGCUUCAAGUGAGGUUGGCGUGGAGACUACAUAAAUUGGCUCAGAUAUUUCACGGCGAUGGACAGAUCAGGCCGCGUGUCAGUGAGGAAGUUCAACUUUUUUAGAAGUCAUUGAUAGAAGGUUGGGUCUAGAAUCAAAUCGCCAGUGUGAAGGCUGAGUCUUUGAGUGGGAUCAAUGGGCGAUGCAGUGGCCUUGAGGUCAAGAACCCCAAAUUCAGUCAAUAGUUCUGAGAAAGCAAAGUCAAGAGGAUGCUGUACAACCUGGAUUUCUUUCUGUUUCUCUUCCUAGAUCAAGAGUGAGUAAGCAUGAUUGAUGCUGGGAAGAGGUGUGGUCAUGAGGAUAUUGCACUUCACUCCUGAAUAAGCAUCGUUUAGCCCCAUCAGGAACUGAAUAAGCCUCCCAUCAUGCUAAAAUCUUAGAGCUCUGCUCUUUCCUCCACAUGAGCAUUCACAACUACAGUGAGUACAUGUAUCAAAGCUGUCUAACUCAUCCCAGAUUUUCUUAAACUUUGUGUAAUAACCAGCAGUAUUAGAACUUCCCUGAACUAAAUCGCUAAGUUCUUUUUGCAGCUGAUAAAGCAAAUCUCCAUUGCUUUGACCAAAUCUAUCUUCCAACUCUUUUCAAAUUUCCCUAGCAGUUUUAGAGUAAAGGACAUUCUCAGCAAUCUGCUUCGAAAGGGAGUUGAGCAGCCAUGAUAUUACCAUAUAAUUGCAUCGAUUCCAUGCCUUGAAAGAGGGUGAAUCUGCAGGUGGCUCUGUGAUCAUUGCAUCUAUGAACCCAACAUUGCUUUUAGCCGAGAGAGCUAUGACUACUACCCUACGCCAUCCUCCAUAGCCCUUUCCAUCAAAAAUGGAAUUGACAAGAAUCAUCCCAGGUGAAUCUGAAGGACGAAGGUAAAAGAGAGCUAUCAUUUGAGAUAGUGAUUUGAGGGGAUUAGACUGUUGAAGGACUUCCAGUAGGCAGUGUAGCAGAGGAAUCAUCAGUGACUUCCAUUGAAGAAGACUAAGAAGAAGACUUGAGCAACAGGAUAGGAUCUAGAACUUUUGCUCUAAUACCAUAAAAGAAACAAAAGAGAUUGUAAUGCAGAAUUUUGUUGUGUAUUUCAUUCAUACUGUCUACAAUUAUUUAUACAAGGCAAAAGGAAUAAAAUCUAUUAUGCUUGGUACAA